AACGAACGCUGGCGGCAUGCCUAACACAUGCAAGUCGAACGAAGCCUUCGGGCUUAGUGGCGCACGGGUGCGUAACGCGUGGGAAUCUGCCCUUAGGUACGGAAUAACUCAUGGAAACGUGUGCUAAUACCGUAUGAUGUCUUCGGACCAAAGAUUUAUCGCCUAGGGAUGAGCCCGCGUUGGAUUAGCUAGUUGGUGAGGUAAAGGCUCACCAAGGCGACGAUCCAUAGCUGGUCUGAGAGGAUGAUCAGCCACACUGGGACUGAGACACGGCCCAGACUCCUACGGGAGGCAGCAGUGGGGAAUAUUGGACAAUGGGCGAAAGCCUGAUCCAGCGACGCCGCGUGGAGGACGAAGCCCUUCGGGUGUAAACUCCUUUCUCAGGAAAAAGGAUAGAUGGUACCUGAGGAAUAAGACCCCGGCCUAACUAACGUGCCACGCAGCCGCGGUAAGUCUCGUCUCUA
rnacentral:rRNA from 1 species